rnacentral:lncRNA from 1 species
GCGCCUCCCCGAGCUGAGCCGCGCGUCCCGAGCCCAGCCUCUCCGGGGAGGAGGGACCCGGCGGCGCGGCGUGGGUCGGGAGCGGGCGCCUGGGACUACUUCUCGUUUGAAAGUUUUCAGAGGCCAAAAGUUUGAGCCGGGGCUGCGGAAGGAUCCGGCUCUGGCGGUUGCCGCGCUCGGCGACAACUGGCGACUGAAAUUUGCAUAGAAGAGAGUGGCCCAUUCGGUGUCCACCCGUCAGGCCACCCAGCAGCCAGGCACGCUCAUAAGCCCGCGUUACGGAUGGUGCGGCCGGGUGCACAGGCCCGAGGGAAGCACAGGCCUCGGCCUCCCAGCUCCCAACCCCUGCACCACCCACAGCCGGGAGUACCCCAUGGACAGCUGUGGCCGAGGAGAAGCCAGGGAUGAGGGGGAUGGGCCUCACCUCCCCACCAGCCUGGGAAGGGGGUAGGCCCCUGGCAAGUAGGAGGGAAGCUGAGGCUCAGAGACAUCAUGAGGAUGCCAGCUCAAGGCCCAGCCAGGCCUUGGUCCUCAGCUGCUGUCAUCCAGUAGGGUAAGUGGGACCCCCAGGAGGUGUUGGGGGACACUCCUCCCCUCCCCCACACUCACAGUCUGUUCACCGCCCAAGGCAGCAGGCUGGACUCGGUGCAGGGACCAUGGCUUGGCGUGGCCAGGUUGGAGUGGCCCCUGGGACUGAAAGCAGGGGGCGUGGGGGCUCUGAGGCGGGGCCGAGUGCGGGGACGUCCUGUGGCGGGUACCCUGCUGGGUCCUGGGUGGGGGCCAC